rnacentral:misc_RNA from 1 species
AAAUGCGAUACGUAGUGUGAAUUGCAGAAUUCAGUGAAUCAUCGAAUCUUUGAACGCACAUUGCGCCCUUUGGUAUUCCAAAGGGCAUGCCUGUUCGAGCGUCAUUUGUACCCUCAAGCUUUGCUUGGUGUUGGGCGUUUUUGUCUUUGGCCCGCCAAAGACUCGCCUUAAAAUGAUUGGCAGCCGGCCUACUGGUUUCGCAGCGCAGCACAUUUUUGCGCUUGCAAUCAGCAAAAGAGGACGGCAAUCCAUCAAGACUCCUUCUCACGUUUGACCUCGGAUCAGGUAGGGAUACCCGCUGAACUUAAGC